UACGGAGGAUGCAAGCGUUAUCCGGAUUUAUUGGGUUUAAAGGGUGCGUAGGCGCGAAAAUAAGUCAGUGGUGAAAUCCUACAGCUUAACUGUAGAAUUGCCGUUGAUACUGUUUUUCUUGAGUAUGGUCAAGGAAGGCGGAAUGUGUAAUGUAGCGGUGAAAUGCUUAGAUAUUACACAGAACACCAAUUGCGAAGGCAGCUUUCUGGCCCAUUACUGACGCUGAGGCACGAAAGCGUGGGGAUCGAACAGGAUUAGAUACCCU
rnacentral:rRNA from 1 species